UACGAAGGGGGCUAGCGUUGUUCGGAAUUACUGGGCGUAAAGCGCACGUAGGCGGUUUUCCAAGUUGGAGGUGAAAUCCCUGGGCUUAACCCAGGAACUGCCCCCAAAACUGGAUGACUCGAGUCCGAGAGAGGUGAGUGGAAUUUCCAGUGUAGAGGUGAAAUUCGUAGAUAUUGGAAAGAACACCAGAGGCGAAGGCGGCUCACUGGACUGUAACUGACGCUGAGGCGCGAAAGCAUGGGGAGCAAACAGG
rnacentral:rRNA from 1 species